rnacentral:rRNA from 1 species
GAUGAACGCUAGCGGCGUGCCUAACACAUGCAAGUCGAACGGGGUACCCGAAACGGAGACUUCGGUUGAAGUUUUGGACUACCUAGUGGCGGACGGGUGAGUAACGCGUGAGCAAUCUGCCUCACAGAGGGGGAUAACACAGAGAAAUUUGUGCUAAUACCGCAUAACAUAUAGAGGAGACAUCUUCUUUAUAUCAAAGAUUUAUCGCUGUGAGAUGAGCUCGCGUCUGAUUAGCUAGUUGGUGGGGUAACGGCCUACCAAGGCGACGAUCAGUAGCCGGACUGAGAGGUUGAACGGCCACAUUGGGGACUGAGACACGGCCCAGACUCCUACGGGAGGCAGCAGUGGGGGAAUAUUGCGCAAUGGGGGAAACCCUGACGCAGCAACGCCGCGUGAAGGAAGAAAGGGCCCUUCGGGUUGUAAACUUUUAGUCUUUAGGGUAAGAUAAGG